rnacentral:rRNA from 2 species
AAAAGAAACUAACAAGGAUUCCCCUAGUAACUGCGAGUGAAGCGGGAAAAGCUCAAAUUUAAAAUCUGGCGGUCUUCGGCCGUCCGAGUUGUAGUCUGGAGAAGUGCUUUCCGCGCUGGACCGUGUAUAAGUCUCUUGGAACAGAGCGUCAUAGAGGGUGAGAAUCCCGUCUUUGACACGGACUACCAGUGCUUUGUGAUGCGCUCUCAAAGAGUCGAGUUGUUUGGGAAUGCAGCUCAAAAUGGGUGGUGAAUUCCAUCUAAAGCUAAAUAUUGGCGAGAGACCGAUAGCGAACAAGUACCGUGAGGGAAAGAUGAAAAGCACUUUGGAAAGAGAGUUAAACAGUACGUGAAAUUGCUGAAAGGGAAACGCUUGAAGUCAGUCGCGUCGUCCAGAACUCAGCCUCGCUCUCGCUUGGUGCACUUUCUGGAUGACGGGCCAGCAUCGAUUUUGACCGUCGGAAAAGGGCUGGGGUAAUGUGGCACCUCCGGGUGUGUUAUAGACUGCAGUCGCAUACGACGGUCGGGAUCGAGGUUCGCAGCGCGCCGCAAGGCAGGGGUUCGCCCACUUUCGCGCUUAGGAUGCUGGCAUAAUGGCUUUAAACGACCC